rnacentral:lncRNA from 1 species
AUAUUUAGCUUCAAGUAUUCUUUAAUACCAACUUUUAUAUGUGAACUAAUAAGCAUUUUUAAUGAACGUUAUUUUUAAAAUGGCACUCUAAUAAUGGCAUUUUUAUUGUGUAAAUGCUCUGCCUUCUAUAAAUUCUCUAGUGUUUCAUUUUAGGGAAGGUCUCAUUUUGCUUUUCAUGAAUCCACAGGAAAAAAAAAAGACUGAAUUCAGUAAUUACCAUGAGGUUUUUCCUACCUGCGUUCACUCUGUGUUUGAAGUGACCUGGUUUCUGGCAAUGCUUCCAAGGUUCAUAUAGUAACAGAUAUCAUCCAAUCUGCUGACCUUAUGUCCAAUUUUCUUUUUUUGUUCAAUUUAAAAAUUUAUCUUUGAAAAAAAAUUUAUCUGUGCUGUAUAAGUCACAUGCAAGUAUGUGUCUAUGUACAUGGUAACAUGGCAUUUUUUAUAUAGGGUG